GGAACCGGCACCGCGGGCAGGACUCUCCCGGGACAUCACCGCCCACCGGAGGCACCGAGGCGGCGCUGGAUGCUCGCCGGGCCGGAUGUCAUAGAUGGAUCCAACCCAGAGGUCUCUGAAGAACAGGGGACUCAGGUUCUCACCCAGCGCUGACGACGCGGGCUCAGAGCUCUGGGCAGGUUUUAUGUGACCUCAGGAGGGGCUGCACAGGCAGGAAUGAACCCCCGUUCCCUGGGAGGAAUCCCCAGGGUCCCAGCAGGAUGCAUUAACAGCACGUCUCUCCAGUGAGCCGUGAUGGGAACAGCACGGAGCAAAAAAAAGGUAAAAAGCGGAGAAGCGAUCUCUCGAAGGAUCCUGGCUGGCAGCAGCAUCACCAUCUGACUGAAGAGAGAACUCAGCCACACGCAUAAUCCUGGGGAAAAUUCAUCUCCACCCUCCCGCAGACCCCGGUAUUGUCGCUCAGGGAUGGAGUGAGCUGGACCUAAUGCCCCGUGGGGGAAAUUGGAGCGACUAAAUCUGUGUUCGCUGGUGGAGACGAGGCUUUGCCACUUCCAAGGCAGGAAACUCGUACUUUAAAAUGCACCACCAGAGCUGUGCAGGGCCGCAGACUGGCCUGCGUCAUCCAUGUGGCUCCGUUACAGCUCAGGACAUUAUGGCUUCAUAAAACCUGCAAUUAAACCACGUCACAUUAAUGCUAUGCAGCCGCUGUGUUUUGAAGUGCCAUAACAUCAAGGGAUUUAAGAGAAAUAAAACCGCUAUGAAAGCAGCACAUGCUGAGAGUCUCAGACACACCUGGACAGCGCCUGGGCCGCGCGGGGCGCGCUGGGAAGUGUAGUCCUGGCUCUGGUACAAUCCCGUUAGCGGCGCUACCGCAGCGGGCCGAGAAAACUACGCU